ACUAAAGAGAAGUAGAGACACGUUGUUUAGGAUAUAGACAACAAAGACCGUGACGCGUGAGGGUGGCGACUGGUCACAGUCCCAUGAGAAGAAAGUUGAAAGCAGAAGGCAGAGUCAGAUAAGAAAGGGUUCGUUCGGUCAACGGAAAACACACGGACACCGAAAUUCGAGAGAGAGAGAGAGAGAGAGAGAGAGAGAGAAGAGAGGUUGAUUGAUCGAUGGCGGCUGCGACGACGUCGUAUCUGUCGCCGACGCAGAAGUACGCUGCAGGAGCCCUCUUCGGGCUUGCCCUUCACCAGGCCCACCUUCACCAGACCCACCCCCUUGGUUUGCAUUUCUAUUCCGACGACGAUCAACCCUCCACCAGCGACUCUGCCGCAGUUUCCGAGGAUCCCCACCUUUGGGUCCACCACUCCUCCGGUCUCCUCCACCCCGUUUUCAAGUAUCUAGAUAUUGAUUCUGGGGCUUGGUCUGGACUUGAGGAAACUGCUGGCUCUUCUUCUGCUUCGCGUCAUGUGGGACCCUUCUUGAGAUUAUUAUCAGCAGAUUUUGAUGAUGAUUCUCAAAGGUCAGAUCAAGAACUUGCUUUGUCAGAAGCUGUUGAUGCAAUGGCAUGUACCCUGGAAAAAAUUCAAGAGUCUUCAGCGUCUAAAAGAGAGAAGAUCCGCGAAUACGAGCACCAAUGUCGUGAAAAGUUUUCAAAUUCAGAAGCUCCAUCAGAGUCUGAGAAGGAAGAUAUGCAUUUCGAAACUCCGCACAUGCCUGAAACACCUUAUUUUGAUUGUAAAAACCCACCUCAGGGAUCUACUAUUAGCAAAAUUGAUGAAAGUCCAAUUGAAGAGGUAACAAUGCUCAGCUAUCAAAGGAAAAUAACAGUUCUCUAUGAACUGCUCGCUGCUUGCUUGUCAGAUUUAGGUGAAGGAAACAAGAAAUAUACUCGUAGAAGAAGGGGUUAUGAUGCUCGACAACGUGUGGCUCUUCGCUUGCUCACAACUUGGCUUGAUAUCCAGUGGAAAAAAAUGGAAGCCAUUGAGACUAUAGUUGCCAGUUCUGCAAUGGCUUUAAUUAAAGAGCAAGAAUCAAAUAAAGAGGAAUCUCAAUCAAAGGAAAGCAAAUGGGCUAAAUGGAAGCGAGGUGGUAUUAUAGGUGCAGCUGCAAUAACAGGGGGAGCCUUAAUGGCUAUUACCGGUGGAUUAGCUGCCCCAGCAAUUGCUGCAGGACUUGGUGCUAUGGCUCCAACUUUGGGUACUUUGAUCCCUAUAAUUGGAGCUGGUGGAUUUGCUGCAGCUGCUAGUGCUGCUGGAACUGUUGCUGGUUCUGUUGCUGUUGCUGCAUCAUUUGGAGCUGCUGGAGCUGGACUUACUGGAACCAAAAUGGCUAGGAGAGUUGGGAGUGUGGAUGGGUUUGAAUUUAAAGCUAUAGGAGAAACCCAUAACCAAGGUAGGCUAGGGGUUGAGAUCCUGAUCUCUGGAUUUGUUUUUGAGGAGGAGGAUUUUAUAAGGCCAUGGGAUGGAUUAAAUGACAACCUGGAGAGGUAUGCACUGCAGUGGGAGUCCAAGAAUCUAAUUGCCGUGAGCACUGCGAUUCAGGAUUGGCUUACUUCAAGAAUUGCGAUGGAGCUGAUGAAGCAAGGUGCAAUGAUGACUGUUAUGAGUGCACUUUUAACUGCAUUGGCUUGGCCAGCUACCUUACUUGCAGCAACUGAUUUCAUAGACAGCACGUGGACAAUCGCUAUUGACAGAUCAGACAAGGCUGGAAAGUUGCUUGCUGAAGUGUUGUUGGGAGGAUUGCAGGGAAAUAGGUUACUCACUUGGGGCCAGAGUUAUUUACAAAUGUCUAGAGUGCUUGGCUGAAACAGAACACAGUGCUGAACUAGUAGAAAGAGUUGUUCUUCUUGGAGCACCCAUUCCAAUCAAGGAUGAGAACUGGGAAGCAGCUAGAGAGAUGGUAUCAGGAAGAUUUGUAAAUGCUUAUUCAAGGAAUGACUGGAUGCUUGGAGUUGCUUUCCGUGCCAGUCUGCUUUCUCAAGGAUUAGCUGGAAUCCAACCAGUUGAUAUUCCUGGUAUCCAAAAUGUUGAUGUGACAGAUCUUAUUGACGGUCAUUCUUCUUAUCUUUGGGCCACACAAAAGAUCUUGGACCAACUUGAAUUAGAUUCCUACUAUCCUGUAUAUAAUAGCAUUCUGUGUCAUUUCUGAUCACCCCUCCACCCUCUCUUUUAUUCCUUGUUUGACAGUGGAGCAAGUACAUAAUAUGGGGAAUUGGAAACUACUUAAUACGUAUAAAGAAGGAUACAAAAGAAAUGAGAAGAUAUUUUAAUGCAAUCUAGUCUUUAAAAAUUAAAA